rnacentral:rRNA from 1 species
AGAGUUUGAUCAUGGCUCAGAUUGAACGCUGGCGGCAGGCCUAACACAUGCAAGUCGAACGGUAACAGGAAGAAGCUUGCUUCUUUGCUGACGAGUGGCGGACGGGUGAGUAAUGUCUGGGAAACUGCCUGAUGGAGGGGGAUAACUACUGGAAACGGUAGCUAAUACCGCAUAACGUCGCAAGACCAAAGAGGGGGACCUUCGGGCCUCUUGCCAUCGGAUGUGCCCAGAUGGGAUUAGCUAGUAGGUGGGGUAACGGCUCACCUAGGCGACGAUCCCUAGCUGGUCUGAGAGGAUGACCAGCCACACUGGAACUGAGACACGGUCCAGACUCCUACGGGAGGCAGCAGUGGGGAAUAUUGCACAAUGGGCGCAAGCCUGAUGCAGCCAUGCCGCGUGUAUGAAGAAGGCCUUCGGGUUGUAAAGUACUUUCAGCGGGGAGGAAGGGAGUAAAGUUAAUACCUUUGCUCAUUGACGUUACCCGCAGAAGAAGCACCGGCUAACUCCGUGCCAGCAGCCGCGGUAAUACGGAGGGUGCAAGCGUUAAUCGGAAUUACUGGGCGUAAAGCGCACGCAGGCGGUUUGUUAAGUCAGAUGUGAAAUCCCCGGGCUCAACCUGGGAACUGCAUCUGAUACUGGCAAGCUUGAGUCUCGUAGAGGGGGGUAGAAUUCCAGGUGUAGCGGUGAAAUGCGUAGAGAUCUGGAGGAAUACCGGUGGCGAAGGCGGCCCCCUGGACGAAGACUGACGCUCAGGUGCGAAAGCGUGGGGAGCAAACAGGAUUAGAUACCCUGGUAGUCCACGCCGUAAACGAUGUCGACUUGGAGGUUGUGCCCUUGAGGCGUGGCUUCCGGAGCUAACGCGUUAAGUCGACCGCCUGGGGAGUACGGCCGCAAGGUUAAAACUCAAAUGAAUUGACGGGGGCCCGCACAAGCGGUGGAGCAUGUGGUUUAAUUCGAUGCAACGCGAAGAACCUUACCUGGUCUUGACAUCCACGGAAGUUUUCAGAGAUGAGAAUGUGCCUUCGGGAACCGUGAGACAGGUGCUGCAUGGCUGUCGUCAGCUCGUGUUGUGAAAUGUUGGGUUAAGUCCCGCAACGAGCGCAACCCUUAUCCUUUGUUGCCAGCGGUCCGGCCGGGAACUCAAAGGAGGCUGCCAGUGAUAAACUGGAGGAAGGUGGGGAUGACGUCAAGUCAUCAUGGCCCCUUACGACCAGGGCUACACACGUGCUACAAUGGCGCAUACAAAGAGAAGCGACCUCGCGAGAGCAAGCGGACCUCAUAAAGUGCGUCGUAGUCCGGAUUGGAGUCUGCAACUCGACUCCAUGAAGUCGGAAUCGCUAGUAAUCGUGGAUCAGAAUGCCACGGUGAAUACGUUCCCGGGCCUUGUACACACCGCCCGUCACACCAUGGGAGUGGGUUGCAAAAGAAGUAAGUAGCUUAACCUUCGGGAGGGCGCUUACCACUUUGUGAUUCAUGACUGGGGUGAAGUCGGAACAAGGUGACCGUAGGGGAACCUGCGGUUG